AUGCAUCAUUUUUUAAAUGAUCAAUAUAUAUUGUUACUGUACUAUUUCAACAAGGUAAGACAAUUUUGUGAGUUGAAUGAUGUAAGUGUGGUAAUGUCCAUUCUGCUAUAUAAAAACACAAACAUGACCCAGCUUAAUAAGUGGGAUGACACGCAAUUAAAACAUCCCCAGGACAGGAGGGCGUAUUGGCAAAACGAGAGUACACGUGGAGCGUCUUCUCUCCCCACUCCGUCCGUCUGCCCGUUCCUCGUCGCCGCCCCGCCCCGCCCCUUGGCCCGCCGCAACGGCCAGCGUCCCUUUGAGAGUCCCCCACCAUUAAACUAUUCCCUCUACUCGCCCCCUCUCCUAUAA
rnacentral:rRNA from 1 species